UACGUAGGGUGCGAGCGUUAAUCGGAAUUACUGGGCGUAAAGCGUGCGCAGGCGGUUUUGUAAGUCAGAUGUGAAAUCCCCCGGGCUCAACCUGGGAACUGCGUUUGAAACUACAAGGCUAGAGUGUAGCAGAGGGGGGUAGAAUUCCACGUGUAGCAGUGAAAUGCGUAGAGAUGUGGAGGAAUACCAAUGGCGAAGGCAGCCCCCUGGGUUAACACUGACGCUCAUGCACGAAAGCGUGGGGAGCAAACAGG
rnacentral:rRNA from 1 species